rnacentral:lncRNA from 1 species
GCUGAACUAUGACAGCGGUGAAGCUCACGAACCGUUUCAGCACAGCCUCCCCUGAACGCGCCGGGAGCGCUGCCUGUGCUGCCCAAAGACAGACGGCAAGAAAGCCCGAGCUCACCGCCGCCACCCGCGAGGUGAGGAGGUGCGGGGCGGACCCGACGGCUCCGCGUGAGGCGCUGCCAUGGCGGCCUGCCCGCCGGGAGCCGUUACCAGGGCAACGCGCGUGAGGCAACAGAUUUGAAGGAGGAGGUGGAAUACAGAGCUUUGAUGAUGCCUUCUACAUUGACUGAUUCCUCCAGACAGACAUGUGGCAGUUAUGAUGGACAGGAACAUGUAAAUCUUCACUGAGUAUGAAUUAACAAUUAGAAAAUAAAGGAGUGAAACAAACAAGAGGAGAAGACAAAAAUGUAAGAAAAAUGAUACUGAUGUUAGUAGAAUUUAUUUCUGUAUUAUAUGUUGCCAUCAGGAGCAGUGAGGUGACUUCCCCAUUUGGGCCCCUCACUACCAGAAAUAUACAUUGCGGCCCUGGAGCAUGUCCAGAGAAAGGCAAUAAAACUGGUGAAGGGUCUGGAGCACAAGUCUUAUGAGGAACAACUGAGGGAACUGGGGUAGUUUAAUUCGGAGAAGAGGAGGCUCAGGGGAGACUUUAUAGGUCUUUACAGCUACCUGAAAGGAGGUUCUGGCAGGGUUGAAGUUAGCCUCUUCUCCCACAUAAUCAGCGGCAAGAUGAGAGGGAGUGGCCUCAAUUUGCACCAGGGGAGGUUCAGGUUGGAUAUUGGGAAAAACUUCUCCAAAAGAGUGGUCAGGUGCUGGAACAGGAUGUCCGGGAAGGUGGUGGAGUCACUGUCCUGGGGGUGUUCAAGAAAUGUUUAGAUGUUGUACUAAGGGACAUGGUUUAGUGGGGAAAUGGUGGUGGUAGGUGGAUGGUUGGAUUUGAUGAUCUUUGUCUUUUGAAAAAAUGCGUCAAGGGUGUAUUGUGAAAACUAAAUGUCAUG